ACGCUCUCAACUUUGACGACCACCUGACUGCAGAACAUUUGGGCUUCAGCCAUUCCUCCAAAUGCUGCAAAGGUAUUCCCUCAUCACCAUCCAGGCCGGAUCUGUUUGGUUAUUUACGGCCGGGUGAGGACAGCAGUCAGGCGGUCGCCUCCAGCAUCAUCAGGCGGACAACACGCUUAUGUGCCCCGCAUGUGUGCGUAAAGAACAGAACACAAUAAAACGGAA